UACGUAGGGUGCGAGCGUUGUCCGGAAUUAUUGGGCGUAAAGGGCUCGUAGGCGGUUUGUCGCGUCGGGAGUGAAAACACACAGCUUAACUGUGUGCUUGCUUCCGAUACGGGCAGACUAGAGGUAUGCAGGGGAGAACGGAAUUCCUGGUGUAGCGGUGAAAUGCGCAGAUAUCAGGAGGAACACCGGUGGCGAAGGCGGUUCUCUGGGCAUUACCUGACGCUGAGGAGCGAAAGCCAGGGGAGCAAACGGG
rnacentral:rRNA from 1 species